rnacentral:rRNA from 1 species
AUGCCAAACCUCACAAGAAUUUACUUGUCGACAAAUGGCCUCACUGGAAAGAUCCCUGUGGAACUGAGCAACCACACUGAGCUUCUCGGUUUGGACCUUAGCCAGAACAAACUUGAGGGGGGAAUCCCACCAGAAUUUGGACGGCUGACAAACCUCAGGUUUAUGAGCUUUGCCAACAACCGAAUAACAGGUCCCAUUCCUGAUUCCAUAGGCAAUCUUUCUAACCUCACAACCAUAGAUUUCUAUGGAAAUGGUUUGACUGGAUCCGUGCCAAUUUCAUUUGGGAACUUGCUGAACCUUCGUCGCAUCUGGCUUGAUGGGAACCAGCUCAGUGGGAACCUCGACUUCCUGUCUGCAUUCUCAAAUUGCAGGAGCCUGAAUACAAUCAGCAUGGCAAACAACACAUUCACAGGGAGUCUGCCAGCCUACAUUGGAAACCUUAGCACAGUCCUCGAGACUUUUAUAGCAGAUAACAACAGGAUCACAGGAAGCAUCCCAGGUACAUUUGCCAAUCUUACCAACUUAAUGACUCUGUCACUCAGUGGAAACCAGUUGAAUGGGACAAUCCCAACACCAAUCACUGCAAUGAGCAAUCUCCAAGAACUCAACCUUGCCAACAAUAGCUUGUCUGGCACCAUCCCAGCAGAAAUCACUGGAUUAACAAGCCUGGCUAAGUUGCAUCUUGACAGCAAUAGACUCGUUGGUCCCAUUCCAAGCAGCAUCAGUAACCUAAGACAGAUACAGAUCAUGACACUAUCCCGCAACUCAUUGUCUUCAACCAUACCAACAAGCCUAUGGCGCCAUCAGAAACUAAUUGAGCUUGAUUUGUCGCAGAACUCUUUCAGUGGUUCCCUACCGGAAGAUGUAGGGGAACUGACUGCAAUUACCGAGAUGGACCUGUCGAGCAACCAGCUAUCAGGUGAUAUCCCAACUUCAUUCGGCGCACUGCAGAUGAUGAUCAAUCUGAAUCUGUCGAGGAACUUAUUAGAAGGAUCAAUACCAGACUCAAUUGGAAAGUUACCAAGUAUUGAGGAGUUGGACUUUUCCUCCAAUGCGCUUUCUGGUGUCAUUCCGACGUCAUUGGCCAAUCUGACUUACCUUGCCAACUUGAACCUCUCUUUCAACAGGCUAGAUGGUCAGAUACCAGGAGGAGGUGUGUUCUCCAACAUCACCCUCGAAUCAUUGAUGGGAAACAGUGCACUCUGCGGCCUUCCAAGGAAAGGAAUAGCGCCAUGCCAGAACAACACACACUCAAGGUCAAAACAACUACUGCUGAAAGUGAUAGUACCUGCAGUAGUGACAUUAUCUAUUUUAUCAGCUUGCAUGUACAUGUUGGUUAGAAGAAAGAUGAAUAAGCAAGGAAAGAUGUCACUGCCCUCAAACACAGACUUGACGAACUACCAGUUGAUCUCAUACCAUGAACUUGUCCGUGCAACAAGCAACUUCAGUGCUGAUAACCUCCUAGGGGCUGGAGGCUUUGGUAAAGUCUUCAAAGGCCAGCUAGAUGAUGAGUCUGUCAUUGCGAUAAAGGUCCUCAAUAUGCAAGACGAAGUAGCUUCAAAGAGCUUUGACACGGACACGGAGUGCCGUGCACUACGAAUGGCCCGGCACCGGAACCUGGUCAGGAUAAUCAGCACUUGCUCUAAUCUUGACUUCAAAGCAUUGGUUCUCGAAUAUAUGCCUAAUGGCAGCUUAGAUGAUUGGCUGCAUUCAAGCGAACGGAGGAACAUCAGUUUCCUGCAGAGGCUUGGAAUCAUGCUGGAUGUUGCAAUGGCAAUGGAGUAUCUGCAUCACCGGCACUUCAAAGUUGUCCUGCAUUUCGAUUUAAAGCCGAGCAACAUUUUGCUUGACAUGGACAUGACUGCACAUGUUGCCGAUUUUGGGAUUUCCAAGCUGCUGGUUGGAGACGACAACUCUAUCGUGUUAACGAGCAUGCCCGGCACUGUAGGAUACAUGGCACCAGAGUUUGGAUCAACGGGGAAAGCAUCACGGAAGAGUGACGUUUACAGCUUUGGGAUUGUUCUCCUUGAAGUCUUCACGAGGAAAAAACCAACUGAUCCAAUGUUUACUGGUGAGCUGAGCUUAAGGCAGUGGGUUAACCAAUCAUUCCAAUAUGAACUCUCAAGUGUCACCGACCGUGGCCUGCUGCAAGAUGAACCAAAGCACGGUAUUGAUAAGAUAAGCAAUCCCUCCGAGGACUCCUCUGCCAUCUUGAAUACUUUCCUGGUGUCCAUCAUCGAGUUGGGCUUAGUUUGCUCAAGAACUGCACCUGAUGAGAGAAUGCCAAUGGAUGAUGUGGUUGUCAGAUUGAACAAGAUCAAGUCAAAUUACUGCUCUCAAGUAAGGAAAUAA